rnacentral:rRNA from 1 species
UGCAAGUCGAACGGUAAGGCCCUUCGGGGUACUCGAGUGGCGAACGGGUGAGUAACACGUGGGUGAUCUGCCCUGCACUUUGGGAUAAGCCUGGGAAACUGGGUCUAAUACCGGAUAGGACUACGGCCUGCAUGGGUUGUGGUGGAAAGCUUUUGCGGUGUGGGAUGGGCCCGCGGCCUAUCAGCUUGUUGGUGGGGUGAUGGCCUACCAAGGCGACGACGGGUAGCCGGCCUGAGAGGGUGACCGGCCACACUGGGACUGAGAUACGGCCCAGACUCCUACGGGAGGCAGCAGUGGGGAAUAUUGCACAAUGGGCGCAAGCCUGAUGCAGCGACGCCGCGUGGGGGAUGACGGCCUUCGGGUUGUAAACCUCUUUCAGUAGGGACGAAGCGUAAGUGACGGUACCUAUAGAAGAAGCACCGGCCAACUACGUG